rnacentral:rRNA from 1 species
UGCCAGCCGCCGCGGUAACACGGGGGGCGCAAGCGUUAUUCGGAAUUAUUGGGCGUAAAGGGCGCGUAGGCGGUCUUUUAAGUUAGGCGUGAAAGCCCCGGGCUCAACCCGGGAAUUGCGCUUAAUACUGGAAGACUAGAAAACGGAAGAGGGUAGUGGAAUUCCCAGUGUAGAGGUGAAAGUCGUAGAUAUUGGGAAGAACACCAGUGGCGAAAGCGGCUACCUGGUCCGAUUUUGACGCUGAGGCGCGAAAGCGUGGGGAGCAAACAGGAUUAGAUA